ensembl:lncRNA
UGAGUAACAACAGUCAGGAAGAUAAUACCAAACUGUUAGUUAGGUUUACUGAGUAACAACAGUCAUUAAGAUAAUACCAAACUGUCAGUUAGGUUUACUGAGUAACAACAGUCAGGAAGACAAUACCAAACUGUCAGUUAGGUUUACUGAGUAACAACAGUCAUUAAGAUAAUACCAAACUGUCAGUUAGGUUUACUGAGUAACAACAGUCAUGAAGACAAUACCAAACUGUCAGUUAGGUUUACUGAGUAACAACAGUCAUGAAGACAAUACCAAACUGCCAGUUAGGUUUACUGAGUAACAACAGUCAGGAAGAUAAUACCAAUCUGUCAGUUAGGUUUACUGAGUAACAACAGUCAGGAAGAUAAUACCAAACUGUCCGUUAGGUUUACUGAGUAACAACAGUCAGGAAGAUAAUACCAAACUGUCAGUUAGGUUUACUGAGUAACAACAGUCAGGAAGAUAAUACCAAACUGUCAGUUAGGUUUACUGAGUAACAACAGUCAUUGAGAUAAUACCAAACUGUCAGUUAGGUUUACUGAGUAACAACAGUCAGGAAGAUAAUACCAAACUGUCAGUUAGGUUUACUGAGUAACAACAGUCAGGAAGAUAAUACCAAACUGUCAGUUAGGUUUACUGAGUAACACCAGUCAGGAAGAUAAUACCAAAC